GACGAACGCUGGCGGCGUGCUUGACACAUGCAAGUCGAACGGAAAGGCCUGCUUUCCCUUGUGGAUUGCGGGUACUCGAGUGGCGAACGGGUGAGUAACACGUGAGUGAUCUGCCCCCAACUUGGGUAUAAGCCUGGGAAACUGGGUCUAAUUCCCGAUAGGACUGCAGGGUGGUGCCUGUGGUUGAAAACGAUGUUAUAGUGGUUGGGGAUGAGCUCGCGGCCUAUUAGCUGGUUGGUGGGGUAAUGGCCUACCAAGGCGGCGACGGGUAGCCGGCCUGAGAGGGUGGACGGGCACAGUGGGACUGAGAUACGGCCCAGAAUCCGACGGGAGGCAGCAGUGGGGAAUAUGGGACGAUGGGGGGAAGCCUGAUGCAGGGACGCCGGGUGGGGGAUGACGGCCUUCGGGUUGUAAACUCCUUUCGAGCGCGAGGAAGCCAUCUGGUUGGAAGGGUGGUGACGGUAGUGGUAGAAGAAGCACCGGCUAACUACGUG
rnacentral:rRNA from 1 species